GAUUGAAAAAUAAAGUUUUUUUAAAAGUGGUGUUGGUACGUAUACGUGCCCACCGCACGGAAAGGGUUGAAUCUGGAAAAAAGAAAAAGAAAAAAAGGCUUCACACUGUCUUCAUAUUUUCUUAUGUUGUAUAUAACGUAAAUCACUUUUCUGGUAUUCAGAAAGCUGCGAUCUUAUGUGUAGAACUCGACCGAUAUCACUUUUUGACGCCGAUAUCGAUAUAUCGGCCAACUGGUGGCCGAUAACCGUUAUCGCAAUGCCGAUAUUAAUAUAUAUCAUAUUUUGAGCCACGCUUUUAUGAUGCACCUUGUGAGUCUGUAUUUUCAUUUUGAUAUUUGUUAUCAUGGCAGUAAGGCUUUUAUUUAACUAACUUCAGUUAAUGCUCGAACAAAUGUUAUUCUGUAACUUUUCCUCCUAUUCCAAUAUCAGUCUAGCUAUUUCCAGGAAAAAGAAUUGUUAAUCAGACGUUUUUAAAUAUAACUAUGGACAUAUGUUGAGGGUAUUAAAAAAUUAUAAAUUGAUAUAUUUUAAAGUGAAUCGUGAAAAUGAUCCUUCGAUAUUGUGAUAGCAAUAUGCAAUUUUUAAUAACUUUGUUUCCAGAGACUCUCAAUACCUUAUUUAGUCAAUAAUAAUGGAUUAAGUUUUUAUUUUGUAAUUUUCAGCAAAAUGAUAAACAACCAUCAAUAUAGACAAAACGAUUACCCCAGAAAUUUAAAAUUGAAUUUGGGGAGGUCACAAAUUCGGAACUGACAUUAUUGCUUUGAACUACCUGUACCAUGUUUCUAUGAUCACUAACUCACCAGCUUCCAAUCGAUUCUAUUUAUAGAACCGCCGAUUAAUGCUGUUAAUAAAUUUGCCUUUUUCUCAUUGUGUACUCUCUCAAAAACGUCACUUAAUAAAACGUCUUUGUUACUCCAGAUAUUAACUUUUCAGUUAUGACUAUGCAUGAAAUGGCUAAUCAUAAGACACCGGGAAUUAGCAGAGACACCUUUAUAACGCAAAAUAAAAGCGAAAGAAAUAUUGGAAAACCAGUUACGCAGGGGCGAGAGCGUUGCAGCACACAGCCCGGCGCUUGCCGAGUAUGGCCGAUAUAUAUCGGCGGUUUACGGCUGAUAUGAUAUAUCGGCAAACACGCAAUAUCUGCCCGAUAUAUCGGUCAAGCUAUACUUAUGUGCGUAACAAGUUUAAUAUAUUAGGUUUGCUUUUAUAUGUAUUUAUGGUUUAUACAGUUUGGACAAAUAAAGUAUUGCACAAGGGUUCCUAGAGCCACUUGAAUAUUUCACUGGGUUUCAGCUGUAACAAAAAGUUUAAAAACCACUGAUGCUUACAUUAUGAGAGUAUUAGUGAGUUAGACCGAAGGAUUUUGUUUUGAUUGAUGAGCGUUUCUUGAAUUUGAAUUUACUAUUAUUUUAAGCUUGCAAUUUCAAGUAAUCUAUAUUAGCAUAUUUUAAAGUGUAUUGACAUUUUUGCAUAGUUGGAAAUCCACGAUUUCAGACAUCUGCCACAGGAUUUGGUUCAAAUUCAGGAUUUUAGAUGGAUUAUCCUGGAAGCAUUCGUUUUUCUCGGUCACCACAGUAUCCAGGUGUUUUUCUGGGACUUCACUACCUUCAGUGAUCAAUGCUACCUCUAGAGACAAGACAAGCAAUUCACAGGGUUUUGAUUUCUUUGGGCCAAUCAAACCUCAACCAAUGCGUCCGGCUGCCCCAAAACCCACCCCUAAUUUGGCCCCGAGUUUACCCCCCUACGAGAUCCAUGUAUCCAGGCCAGCAAGCAAGGUUUGCCCCACCACCGCAGAUGUAUAACGGCUACCCAACUGCUCCAAACCCCAUGUACCGGCCCCCUAGGCCUGCUCAAAUGAGCCCUGGGUACCAUAGCCCCAUGCAGGUCCCCAAUGGCCCCCAACUUACUCAGCGUAAUCAAGAUUCUCACACACCUCAAAGGGAUUCGUCUGCGAAACAAGGGAAUCACAAGACCAAAGAAAUUCCACCUCUAUUCCAGAAACAAAAGCAACAGAAGAUGGAAAUGGCAGCUGCUCAGAAUCAAAAUAUAGAAAUCAUCCAAUUUCAAAGACUCCCUUCACGGCAUCGUUCGACACAAAACCAGAAGCAUCCUUCUCCCACUAUACAUGAGACCAACAUUGAUGCAGGCUCCGUUCCAACAUGCUAUUGACAAUGCUACCCAGCAGGGUAUGCAGACAACAUUGAAAAAACUCUCAGAUCUCGAGUCAGAAAUCCCUCUGAUAAAAUCCUCGAUGGGGAACUUUCUCUCAAAAGUAGUAAUAUUCGAGUUUUUGGCCUUGUCGGAUCUUGGAGAGAUGCUGGUCGGAGGCUACCAUUUUUGUCUCUUCCUGUUGACCCUUCAACAAAGGUCAAGGGUGAAGAUUGGAUCACUCGUGCGUUUGAAGAAAGUAAGAUCAACAUGAUCGAAAUGCUCCCAGAAGCAUCUCAGACCAAAUCUGCAAUGAAUACAAUCCUAGAAGGAAAACAACUGCAAUUCCUGUUCCCAUUGGUCCAUAUUGAAUCCAAACUGUCCAAUCAGAUUGCAGAGAACCCAAACCCCUCCUCUAUCUACCAAUGAAAAUGUGACCUCUGACCUCUACACUGACCCUGGGUUCAUUAAUGUGCUUGUUUCAUGCUCUCUUGAUCAUAUCACAAAGCAUAGCAGUCUAGCGGAGGGCUAGAACGAACGCAAAAUCCAUUGAGGGAGAUUCAAGAAAAAGAGCGCCAACUACUGGUCAAAAUAAAACCUGUAUUGCAGAAAUUUUUUCAUGAUAAGCCAAAGUUACAAUUGUAUGCUUUGUAUGCUGCUCAAGUCUUCUGCUGUAACAAGGAAUUCCCGAAAGGUCUUCUGCUCCGAUUGUUCAAUGGUUUGUAUGAAGAAGAUGUUGUUGAUCGGAGACUUACUAUGUGUGGAAGGAAGAUGUUAAUGAACAGUAUUGUGGAAAGGGGAAGGCAUUGUUUCAGAUGAACAAAUGGCUGGCUUAGCUUCGUGAAGCUGAAACAGAUGACGGAGAAGACAAAUAAUGUUUGAGAUUGUUGUGUCAUAAUCAGCACUUAUGAUGUCAUAAUCAACCAAUGUGAUGUAACAAUCAGGCAGUGUGAUGUCACGCUAUUUUGUGCAGUACUAUUGGCAGGGAAUCAAUUAAUGUUGGUUUGUGAUGUCACAAAACAAAUAUUGUGAUAAAACAAAAACUAUAGUUGAAUCACAAAUAAACAAAUAUACUACAAUGCACUAUAUUGUAAAUAAACUUCUCUUCCAAUUUUUGAGAACCACCUUGUAAAUAUUAUUGUUUUUGUCUGUCAUAGUUUGUGAGUUCCGUUAGUCUGCCAUUUUCCCGAGAAUUAUUUCUGCUUUUUGAUACCAAUUUUUUAGUCUUUUUAUGCUUUGUAGUGAGUUUUAUAAAUUUUGUGGAAGUUCAAAGUUCAACAUUACAGUGAUAAAUUUAUGAAAAAUUAGAUUAGUUGUCAUUUAGAAUGUUGAAAUCUCAAUCUAUUAAACAAUUUUGAAUUAUGGAAUGUAAAAUAAUUCAAAUUGUGGCAAUGCAUCAAACAUUUAGCGUCAGAAAAAGAUGUUGGUUGUUCAAAAAGUGUAAAGAAUAUUUGCGCUGGCUUUUGAUAUAGAAAUUUAAUGCCUAAUCCUGUAAAACAUUCAUUAUAGGGAGGGGGCUUUCCAAUAAGCCGUAUAAUGGCUGUAUAGCUGUGGUUCCCAACCUUUUACGCCUCGUGGCCCCCUUCAGAGGAUUUUAGUUCUCAUGGCCCCUGUUUAUCUUUCCAGUGGUAUUUAUAGUGUUAUUUUGAUUGGUGGAAUCCAAAUCCCAUUAUGUUCAAACAAUUCAUGCUCAACAAAGUGAAAAAUCCUUUGGAAUAACAUAACCUUAUCAGGCAAUGAAACUAGGAAAAAAG